UACGUAGGGGGCAAGCGUUGUCCGGAAUCAUUGGGCGUAAAGCGCGUGUAGGCGGCUCGGUAAGUCUGCUGUGAAAGUCCAGGGCUCAACCCUGGGAUGCCGGUGGAUACUGUCGAGCUCGAGUCCGGAAGAGGAGUGUGGAAUUCCUGGUGUAGCGGUGAAAUGCGCAGAUAUCAGGAGGAACACCAAUGGCGAAGGCAGCACUCUGGGACGUGACUGACGCUGAGACGCGAAAGCGUGGGGAGCAAACAGGGAUAGAUAC
rnacentral:rRNA from 1 species